GGAAAAUAAGCCCCAGAUUUUCCUAUCUUGAUUUAUAAAUUUUAACUUUUUAACAUUUUAACAUUUCCUAGUUAUUUUAAUAGACAGAAUUUCCACAAACUUAAAUGCUGGGUUUCUGUUCUCAUGACUAAAAGGCUGAGCAGUCACUCUAGUUAAACUGGGCUAACUGGGCUGCAUGAAAUAACCACACAAGAGACACAAAUACCUUUUUCUUUGGGGUUGCUGUGACGGCUCCUCUGACCUUAAGGGCCCGCAGAAAGAGAGAGAGCACACGCUGACCCCUUUUAUUGAGAAGAAUCUAUUCAAAUGAGGCAAGGGGUCAGGUUUCAAGGGGCUGAGUCUAUCUUCAUGAUGUCCACUGUCAGCAGGUUGACUGACACCUGGGUAGGCCACACCCAAGGGCACAGUAAGAGGAGGGGACGCACACAAGGCACUUCCAUGGAAGAUUCUAUCCUAAACAGGGCAAGGAGUUAUAUUACAAAGGAACAGGUGAGCAUAGCUUCACCCAUGGGGCUGUAGCAAGAUACACCCAUUUCUGUGACUGAGCGCCUCAGCACCCAGCUGGGGAGUGUAACUCAGUCACCCCCGUAAGGUUGGCCUCCCAUAUUUAAACGUAGCUCUUACAGGAGAGAAGAGCUUUAUCUUUCUUGUGUGCAUAAUGGCCUUCUAGACUUCAUCCUCAUUGGAGACAUUUUAUUUUUCUGUGAAUGAGGUCAAUAAUCAGUGUUUUCAUGUACAUUAGUAAAUUCUGACAUCCUUGUUAUUCUAUAGGUAGUGUUAUUUCAGGGCAGGAAUUAGAGACAUGGAUGUGGAGUCAAGGUUGAGUGAGACCUUAUACUUAUGACAAAAUAAUCAUUGAGCUGUUUUAUAGUCUCAUUUUCUGAGGACCAAAUAGUAAGAGGUAAACUGAGAAGGUUGUAUGUAAAGAAACUUAAUAGUUUCUUAUCAUAAAAUGUUGGCUUUUCAGCUACAAUAGGGUAAAAGCUUCUUAUACACAGAAUCCAUACAAAAGUCAUUUUGAAUAUCAUUCACAAUUUUAUUAACAUUACAUAUAAUUCAUGAAGAACUGAGUUUACAGCAACAUAUGCCUAAGAACAAGGUCUGGGGACAUUGUACACUCUCCAAUAUAGACAUUUAUACCAAUUUAAUUAUAGAAGAAACACUAAAUAAGAAGUAAUAUCAAUUGGAUGAACACACAACAAUAUAGAAAUGAAAACUUGUAAAGACUUAAGCAAGAGACCAAUAGUGGAUGAAGUGUGGUUUCCAAAUGCUAGGGGAAAAAUGGACAUAUAAUCAGUUAAAGGUAAUUGAAGAAAGAUAAGUUGAGCUACAAUAGUAUUUGAAAGAAAAAGAGUCACAAAGUAAGCAAUGAUUAUUCACUUCCAUUUGUAUGCUUUGUAAUAUUUUCCAAAAGUUUUCUGCAUAUUUUAUUGCAGUCAAAUUGGGAAACAAUCCAGAAAGUUAAAAAAUACAAGUAUUGCUCCUCUGGUUUUAAAAGCAAGAAAAGGAAUACAGAGAGAUUUAUUGAGAUAGAAAAAUUUACUAGCUGUAGUUAAAAAAAAAAAAAAAGAACUGAGAUUAUCAGAGUCUAAGUAUAAUGUAUUUCAGCCAUCCCUGGCUGCACAGAGCAUUUUUGCUUAACAAAGUAUUUGUUCACGUAUGUACGCUUAAAGAACAUUGAUGUUUUUAGCCAGUCUUUUUUAUUAAUAACAAUGAUGUACCUUUCAACACUUUCCAGCCACAAAAAUACACAAUUUCAGAAAUCUUCUGGUUCAUCCUCCGUAUAUUCUGCCACAAUAUUCACCAGGACAAGAUAAUAUAAACCUUUUGGCAGCCCCAUUAAGGCAUUCACUUUUAUUAAUUUUAAGGCCCAACAUAUACUGCAUAGAAAAGUAUGAUACAUGGAACAAUAUAAUUUUACUUAGUAAAAAUAUUUUUGUCAUGAAAAAUAUAUCCCAACUCUUUUGUUUUGGGAUUACAUUAGAAAAAUAUGAGGUAAUUAUACUGUGCUCAUACCUUAGGCUAUGAACCUUAAAAUUACCUUAAAAUACAAAAGAAUAUUAAUGUUUAUUUUUAAAUAUAGUUAUUAUAUAUCAAAUAUUCAAAUUCCACAGCAAUCAAUGAUACAAAAACAUGAGAAAAACAACUGCAGUUUGAUGUCUCAUCAUGACAUUUCAAUACCUGCUGUAGAUUGCCUGUGGCUUCCACUUUUAAUUUAAAAAAAUAAUAAUUUUUCCAUACAAUUUGGGUGAAGUGGAGGACAAAAUCUCCUGCAUUGUUUUCCUGGGCAAGCCAUCGAACUUGAAACAACUGAACCCCAAAUCAAAAUAUGUUUACUCUACAAUCUAAUUAUAUCAGUUCUUAACUCAUCUAGCAUUAAACAAAUCCACUUUCUUCUGGUUGAAUAUCUUGAGCACAAAGAUAUGGAACCUGGGAGCUAAAAAAAAUAUGACAUAAGUAAUGAGGCCUUUUUUUGCCUAAGGCAAAUUGCACUUUUUGUAUUUGAUUUUUCUGCCUGUGAAGAUCUACAUUUCUCUUCCUAUAAUGGUAUUAUGAUUGAUGGUGACUUGUGUGAUUACAGGAGGCUUAAAAUGCAGCUACAUGUGUUUGAGUCCUUUCACUGGUAAAACAUACUAUAAUUUGUACAAUAAUAGGAGACUCAAAAUGGUGCUAGAAAAACUUAUUUUUUUAAUCUUCCUCUUUAUUCAUGGUUUUCUAAUGGUUUUGAUCUAGUCAGUUCAGACAAUUUCUGAUUAAUGGGUGUCAUAAAAUGUAAAUUCCCUCUAUAAUCAUUAGCAAUGAGACAAUUCUUCGCAUUAAAAAUAAAAACAUUCUCAUAGAGUCUUUGCUAUAUUCUAAGGAACCACUCUUGCUUUUGCUUUACUAAACAAAAUAAAUUCCACAUAUUUGAGUCUCAAAGUAAAUGGCAAUACAUUAACCUAAGCACCAUGAGGAAUAUAAGAAAUACAAGAUAUCACCUUUGAAAUAUAAAAACAAAUAAGAAUCAGAAAUGCUAAGCCAUUACCAUCUAACCUAUACCAGUGCUUUUAAAAUGUAAUCUUAGAUGUUCUACUCACUCUCAUAGUAAGAUGCCUUAGACACAAAGAUAUUUAAUCACUCACUAAAGGUCACUCAGUGAAUGCAUAACAGUUCUUAUUCUAAAGCUUUUACAGAAUUUUUUGAUAAUACAUUGCAAAGUCUCACCUGUCUUCUUUAGAAAUAAGACACAGAGGUUGUUUUAGUCUGUUUUAUAAUGUUACAGAAAAAUACGAGAUACAGGCCAAUGUAUAAAAAGAGAUAUAAAUGCAUAAAAAUAUUUUCUGAGAGGCUGGCGGUGUGGCUCAGUGGUAGAGUGCUCACCUGUCACAUGCAAGAAGCUGGGUUCAAUUCUCAGCACCAUAUAAAAAUGAAUAAAUAGAUAAAAUAAAGCUAUUGUGUCCAACUACAACUUAUAAAUAAAUAAAAAAAUAUUUUUGAGUACAUAGUUCUGAAGAUUUAAGUGCACUGUACUAGAAUCUUGUAAGCUCCUGUGACAGCUCGUUCACCUGCAUUACACAUGAGGUGGCAUUAUGGUGAGGGCUCAUUUGAGAGGUAGAGAGAACAUAAUGAUACAGGAAGUCAGGGAAAUUCAGAAAAAAAGACUUGCUCUUUUGUAACAACUGGCUUUAAUAAGAACUAUAUUUUGCCCCAUGAAAGUUACAUUAACCCUUUCCAAGAGCAUCUCCCCCAAAUAUCUAACUACAAAUACCUUCUCUGUGCAAGAUAAAUGGGUAAAAGUAAAAAAAAAAAAUCAUGUAAAAUUUAUGUUAAAAAUAAGAACUAUUUUUUAAUAAGGAAAGUGUUAAUGUCUUUUUGAAACAACAUGACAAUAAACUGUGCCUAUCAGAUAAAGGAAAGGAACAAUUCUGGUAAAUUUCUUCAUUUUAUUCUUUGAGUAUGCCAAGUAUUCUUUGGCAAAUUUCCACAUGUAUUAUUUUAAUUUCACAGGUGCAAAUUAUAUCUUUUUUUUCUAAAUUGCUACUUAUUUAAUAUAAAAUUGUUGAGAAAUUAUUUCUUCAUGUGCUGAUAGUGAAAUAUAGUGAGGAAUGGAAGUCCUUUAAAGCUCUAUGAAUUGCAAUCCCAGAAUGGUGGGAGGAAACUGUAUAUAAUCAUGAGCAAUAUUGAGAACUAUGAAUUUGUUCCAGAUAUUUAUUUCUCUUAUAGAAAAUAUCAUAGAAAAGGCCAUCAGAGUAAUCAGAAGAAGAAAAUUAAAAGAGAAACAAUCAAAUCAUAAACAUCUGGUUGAAACAAGAACUGGCCAACUGUUGGAUCUUAGAUUUUGACUUCACUAAAUUUUCUCCUAUCUUUUUUAAAUUAUGACUUAGAGGAAGGUACUUCUAUUAAAACCAUGACCAGAAAAAAUUAUAACAAUUUGUUUUUUCUAAAAUAUGGAUAAAAUUGACUUGCUAACUCAGGAUAGAAUCUAAUGAGAAAAUCUUGUUAUGGUAAGAAAAAAAAAAGUAAAACUACUCAACAUGAAUAUUGGCCUUUUCAAGAAAAG
rnacentral:lncRNA from 1 species